UUGGCGGUUGCAGAUGCACAUGUGCGAGGUACGAGGUGUGGGUAAUUGCUGCUUCGUCUGAAGAUGAAUGACUUCGAGGAUUUCGGCAUCGAGCACGAUAGCGGAAGGAAGAUGUUCAGCAUUGUACAUUUUGAUGAGAGGGACGAAGUUUCUGUUGUUCCAUCAACCUGGCUAAUGGGAAGAAACAAAGUUUUAUGGCCACCUUACAAGAACUGCAAGAAAGUAGCCGUCGCAAUUAAAGCAUGCGAAAAUCCAUCAAGCAAUUGGUCACAGCACAACUGCCGGCUACUUUAUGAAUGUGACACAUAUGAAACAGCAAGGCAGAAAGAGCAAAAAGCUGCCAUGACAUCAGGUUUGACAACUGAUGAUGACAUGUGUGAACCAAAAAGGAAGCGGUGGCGCCCACAGCGAUUUGAGUCCUAUGAUGAGGAGAGCGCAUCAAUCAUGGGGGAUUCUUCUUGUUUUGUAAACAAGCCAGAAGAGCCUGUUUCACGUUCGCAGGCAACACCACAGUGUAUUCGUCGCCCAAGGCCUCUCUGCUUGUCCGCUUCCCGCGUGCAAGGAGCAGUUUCAACCUCAGAGCCAUCGCCAAAUUCUUCUACUGUGUCUGCUGAAUCCCAGCAACAAGAAAUACAGAAGUCACGAA